rnacentral:misc_RNA from 1 species
GAAGUCGUUACUCCAACCCUUCGUGGAGGAGGACGUCGAAGGUGGGGCUGAUGACUGGGGUGAAGUCGUAACAAGGUAUCCGUACCGGAAGGUGCGGAUGGAUCACCUCCUAACAGGGAGACAAACAACGAUUUUGAUGCCUGAGUACUUUUAUUCUUAGGCCGAAAUCCUGUCACCUUAGGUCGAUCGGUACCUCAGCGUUGAAGUAACUGGAUCAGCAGCAAUGUUGAUUUGAGUUAUGGAGAUGAUCAGUUCCUAAACUUUGUCUAGGUCACACCCCACAAGGGUUGAGUUUUUUUUCUGGGCCAUUAGCUCAGGUGGUUAGAGCGCACCCCUGAUAAGGGUGAGGUCCCUGGUUCAAGUCCAGGAUGGCCCAUUCGGUGUUGGGGGUUUAGCUCAGUUGGUAGAGCGCCUGCUUUGCAAGCAGGAUGUCAGGAGUUCGAGUCUCCUAACCUCCACUGACCGAACUCAAUCUCCAUUUUCCGUGUAACGGGAAAUGACUCGAAAUGAGGAGUGUGAUUUGGAUGAUGUCCGCUGGAUGACCCCAGCUUCCUGUCAUUCCAAGGAUGAGUGAGAACUCAUGAUUUGGUUGAUAAGAUGCUGGGCUCAAUUCAAGUCAUUGAGCAAUCAAUGAUUUGAUUCGGAGUCUGGCAGAACCUUGACAACUGCAUAGGUGAAGUCUGGAAAAAACAAAGCAUCUCAUGGAUGCAUUGUUUUGAGUCUGAGUAUCCGAAAGGAUGCCUAGAACCAGAGCAAUGAAAAUUCUUUUGAGCAAGAGCCGAGACUCUAAAAUGUUCUUCUUGUCGUGUCGAGCGACGAGGAGUUUGAUUUUGUUUUCAGUGUCAGUGAAAACUGAGGUUGAAAACAGAAGAAUCCGUCUCAACAACGGUAAGCGUUUUAGAGAUUAAUUGGUCAAGCUACAAAGGGCUCACGGUGGAUACCUUGGCACACAGAGGCGAUGAA